rnacentral:rRNA from 1 species
AAGCUAUGAUAGCCCUUAUGCUCGCUAUCCGCCUGGGAACUACGAGCUAUAGCUUAAAACCCAAAGGACUUGGCGGUGCUUAAGAUCCACCUAGAGGAGCCUGUUCUAGAACCGAUAACCCCCGUUAAACCCCACCUCUCCUCGCCAUUACCGCCUAUAUACCGCCGUCGUCAGCAUACCCUUUAAAGGGCCCAUAGUAAGCAAAAUCGGUACAACCCAAAACGUCAGGUCGAGGUGUAGCAUAUGGAGAGGAAGAAAUGGGCUACAUUCUCUACCUUAGAGCAAACGAAAAGUGGAGUGAAAUACCCACUAGAAGGAGGAUUUAGUAGUAAGAGAUGAAUAGAGAGCAUC